rnacentral:lncRNA from 1 species
UGUGAACUGAGUCUUCUACUGGAUAACUACAAGAGCACCUGCUUUCAAAUGAGGCUCUGCAAAUUUCACUAAGGUGCCAAUUGUAUGAAGACAGUCCAAAGCUCCUAAGGGACAUUUGACUAGUAUGACUCAGUGCCCUCUUGAUGCGCACUUUGGAUGUUCACAUGCUAGGCAUGACACUGUGCCACUGUGACCACCAGCAACAAAGCAGCUGAACUGACCUCAGAAGAAAGGCCAUGGGAUUUCUGCUUUCAUAUGUGGAUAUCUUCCCAUGAUUUAUGACACGGAUGGGGUCCAACCAGUUACAAGUUUUG